UGUCUUUUACCCUUGUUCAUCAGAGAACAUAACGCAAUCACCGACCAUCAUGCACCGCCGACCAGAAAUCGUCUCCAUCAGCGGCGGAACUCCAAAUCUUACCAAAUUAACACCAUUUGACCGCCUUCCCCUCAUCUUUCCAAAUCCAUGCCCUCUUUCCCUCAAAUCCCAACUAAACUGUUCGAAUCAUUGAAACCCUAGCAGCCGCCUCCACCGUGCACGGCGGCGCUGCCAUCCAAACCACACCAAAUUAAUACCAAAUGACCCCUUCCUCUCCCUCAUGCCAAAUCCACACUCAAUCUCACUCAAACUCUCCACAAUUGCUCAAAAACCAAAUCUGGGGUUUUCCAGUUUCUCUAAUAAUGCAUGAAGACCAUAGCUCGAGUUAAGAAUCUGAUUCGACAUUAAGCUAAGUCUUCUAUGCUUCUUUUUUUAUUUUUUCUCCACCUCAUCUCUUUUCUGUCAACUUGGCUAUUUUGUUCAAAUUUCUGAGUUUAAGUAAUUAGGGUAUCAGUCUUAUUUCGUUUCCUGAGAUUAAUUCAAUUAAUUAGGGUUGUGCUAGUUUUGUUUGUUUAAUUUCCAGAGUUUUAAUCAGUAUCAUGUUCCUGAGUUAGCUUUAGUUCGAUUUUAGUGAAGUGGUUCAGUAUUGUUUGGUAAUACUUGAGAUGAAUAAUUAAUUUGGGGCUAAUUGAAUCUUAUUUGUUUAGUCAGUUUGGAUUCUAAUUGCAUUAACAUUUUCUGUUAAAUGACUGCUAUGUGUAAAUUAGGUCCAAUAGUCUAUUACUCGACUUAAGUUUAGGUUUAUCUAAUUAUCCAUUAGGUAACCCUAUGAGUGUGUGUGUAUAAUUCAUGUGGCAAUUUUUGAUUUUCUACAUUGUUGUCAAGAAUUGUUGUAUUUGGAAUUUUAGUUUCUUGAACUCGUUUGAAGCUUCAGAAUCUAAUCUAUCAAGGGGUAGAAAGUAAUUAGUAGGACACUAGAUGGUAGUUUAGGCAUUUGAUUAAGGGCAUCUUUUAAUAACUGAAAUCGGAAGCCUCUAGUGGGGCUUCUUGUUAAUUUUAAUGCAAAAAAACUUGGUGCACAAGUUAAAAACUAUAGGACUAAAUUAAAAAGUUAAAAUCUAAAGGAUGCCUUAAUCCUUGCCAAUAAAUACAGGAUUUCUUGCCUUAGAAGGCAGACUUUGGAAGCAUUAAAAAUCCUGAAUAUUCUAGACAGAUAAAAAACUUUAGAAAAACAUUAUUUUAUUGAGUUCUUCUAGUAAUUUCUAAACUUCUCCUAGUGCUGAAACAAGUUUUGAUUAGCUGACAAUCGAAAAAUGAAUUAAAUCAAGCUUGAUUGAAGUGUCUUGGUCCAUUGUUUGGACUGAAGCUGUGUUCUGGGUUGUUUUACCUCACUUUCUGGGUUUGAAAUUUGGUUUUAAACUGAUGAUUAUGUUGUCUAGUUACUACUGCUGGAUUUCUGAUUAUCCUGUUGUGUUCUCUUCACAUAUUUCAGGUACACACCCCUGAUUUGAGUAUUUAACAUAGUUUUAUGAGGUGC
rnacentral:lncRNA from 1 species